AACGAACGCUGGCGGCAUGCCUAACACAUGCAAGUCGAACGAGACCUUCGGUUCUAGUGGCUCACGGCUGCUUAACGCGUGGUGACCUGUCCUUAGGUUCGGAUUCUCUCCCCGAGAGUGGUCCUAAUACCGGCUAAUUUCUUCGGCCCAAAGGUUUGUCGCCUUUGGAUGGGCCCGCGUUGGAUUAGCUUGUUGGUAGGGUAAAAGCCUACGAAGGCGAGGAUCGAUAGCUGGUCAGAGAGGAUGAGCAGACACACUGGGAGGGAGACACGGCCCAGACUCCUACGGGAGGGAGGAGUGGGGAAUAUUGGAAAACGGGGGAAAGGAUGAACCAGCAAGGCCGGGUGAGUGAUGAAGGCCGGAGGGAAGUAAAGGGCUUUUAUACGGGAGGAGAAUGACGGUACCGGAAGAAUAAGCACCGGCUAACUACGUG
rnacentral:rRNA from 1 species